rnacentral:ncRNA from 1 species
AAGAUAGAGGCGCGAAUGAUCAUGAGUAUGGCCGGGGGCCCACCAGACGGGUGAAGAAACGGCAGGAAAGGGGAAUUUGCCGAAAUUGCAAGUUUUGUUUGGAAAAUUGCAGUUGGUUGUCCGAAAAAGAUUCUGGCAACUGUCGCAAGCUGUGGAACUGCUGUUUGUGGAGAGCUAUCGGG